rnacentral:rRNA from 1 species
GAUGAACGCUGGCGGCGUGCCUAAUACAUGCCAGUCGAGCGAAGCGGGGACGGGUGAGUAACACGUGGAUAACCUCCUAUAAGACUGGGAUAACUUCGGGAAACCGGAGCUAAACCCGCUACUUAUACCUUGAUGCGCGAUGCAUUAGCUAGUUGGUAAGGUAACGUCGUACAAAGUCAACGAUGCAUCACCGCCCUGUGAGGUUGAUCGGCCACACUGGAACUGAGACACGGUCCGGACUCCUACGGGAGGCAGCAGUAGGGAAUCUUGCGCAAUGGGCGAAAGCCUGACGGAGCCACGCCGCGUGAUUGAUGAAGGUCUUCGGAUCGUAAAACUCUGUUGUUAGGGAGGCGGUACCUAAUCAGAAAGCCACGGCUAACUACGUGCCAGCAGCCGCGGUAAUAC